AUCCAGUAGACCUAUGAUCAAAGACAUUCCAGCUGUGACCAUCCUGUCUUUUAUUAUUCAUGCAUCGUGUAUCUAGGAGUACAUUAUCUAAUGUGUCCUUCCUUGUUGUUGUUUAACCACAGGUCGGUCCUGAUCCAGCCUGCUCCAAAGUACUACUGGAGGUAACUAGCCUGUCGUUUAUUCAGACAUAGUGUACCUAAGAGUACAUCAUCUAACGUGUCCUUCGAGUCUUGUUUAGCCCCAGGUCAGUCUUGAUCCAGGUCCAGCAUGAUCAUAAGUGCCACCAGUGGUGACUGUUCUGUCUUCUAUUCUGGCAGUGUGUGUCAGCUGACACCAUUCCUUCCGUCCUUCCUUGCUGCUAUUUCUAGCAAGUCAAAGUGACCCUACAGCUGCUGCCUUGUCGAUUCCUCGUUAGGAAUUUAGUUAAAACAAACAAAUAAUAAUAAUAAUAAUAUUUAGAGUAAAAUAGGCAACAGUCAACCUGAAUGGCUGUCUGUUUCUCUCCCAAAUUGCUGUUGUGGACACCAGUCGUUAGUGAACUAAUUAACGAGUAACAAGCAUUAGUAUGGUACACUGGUAGUUCAGUUAGUUACCAGGUCGGGUGUCAAUUGGAGUAAUUCUACACCUCCCCCGCCAUCAAAGCUGGCCUUGGUCUUUUUUUUUUUUGUUUUUGUUAUUGUUACAUGUUUCAGUCAUUUGACUGUGGCCAUGCUGGGGCACUUAUGCAUGUUUCAGUCAUUUGACUGCAGUCGUGUUGGGGCACAGCUUUCACAUCAGCCCCCCACCACUAGGCUCCAGCCAUCAGGCCCCCACAACUAGGCUCCAGCCACCAGACUCCAGCCAUCAGGCCCCCACCACUAGGCUCUGGCCAGCAGGUUCCACCACCAGGCUCCAGCCAUCAGGCUCUGGCCAGCAGGUAUUACAACCAGGCUCCAGUCAUCAGGCCCCCACAACAAGGCUCCAGCCAGCAGGUCCCUCCACAAGGCUCCAGCCAUCAGGCCCCAUCCACCGGCUCCAGCCAUCAGGCCCCCACCACCAGGCUCCAGCCAUCAGGCUCUGGCCAGCAGGUAUUACAACCAGGCUCCAGUCAUCAGGGCCCCACAACAAGGCUCCAGCCAGCAGGUAUCACUACCAGCUCCCAACCAUCAAACCCCAACCACCAGGCCCCAACAGCAGGUUCCAGCCGCCAGGCUCCGACCAUCAGGCCUCAUCACCAGGCUCCAGCCAUCAGGCCCCCAACCACCAGUCUGUGGACCAUUUCAUACUUGGUGAUGCAGAAAGAAUAUAAAAAAGGUUGACGGGGCGGCGGGGACUGCUGCCACUGUUCCAGUUCGUUUCUACUUCCGUAUCACUUUCUCCUCAUCAUUCAUCAUUCUCAUCUCAUCAUUCGCCCCCAUUUGUGACACCCCUGAAAAGACACCUCAGUUUGGUGCUGAACAUAAUUAGGGUGUCCACCCCACUCUACCAUCUAUCUCUCUCUUGAAAGAAGGGAGUGUGCAGCAUGGAAUUUCAAAAGCUCAGGUAGUAUAUAUAUAUACAUCUACAUUGCUCUUAUAUUUCAUAUGUAUAUAAAAUAUAUAUAUGUGUAUAUAUAUAUAUAUCUUAAGUGCUUAUUUGAUUGCAUUGGAAAAAAAAAGCUUUUAUCAAGCAACAACAUUUUGCCAACAAAAUCAUAAUAAUGAUAAUAAUAAUAAUAAUAAUAAUAAUAAUUUGCAAAUGAAAAACGAUGUGGUAAAAUAAAUAAAAAUUUGCAAAAUCCUAAAACCCUCAAAACGGAUAAACAUAUAUUUAUGCAAAUAUAUGUAAUAUAUUAUUAUGUUUAAUGUGUGUAAUGAUUAAAUGAAACAGCAUGUGGCAUAA
rnacentral:lncRNA from 1 species